AUUUAGGGCUUCUAUCAUGGGUGGCACAUGUACAGCAACUUGUUUGUUCUGCAUGCAGAAUUGACAUCAAGAGAUUUUGGAAGCAUAAUUUUUUGGUACUUGGGCAGCUAGUGAUCAUUGGUCCAGGCACCCUA
rnacentral:snRNA from 1 species